rnacentral:rRNA from 1 species
ACGCUCGACACCUACUGGAGGCAGCAGUGGGGAAUAUUGGGCAAUGGGCGCAAGCCUGACCCAGCAACGCCGCGUGAAGGAAGAAGGCCCUCGGGUUGUAAACUUCUUUUAACAGGGACGAAGCAAGUGACGGUACCUGUUGAAUAAGCCACGGCUAACUACGUGUCAGCAGCCGCGGUAAUCUGAGCGGGCUGGCAAGGC